rnacentral:rRNA from 1 species
GAUGAACGCUGGCGGCGUGCCUAAUACAUGCAAGUCGAGCGAACGGACGAGAAGCUUGCUUCUCUGAUGUUAGCGGCGGACGGGUGAGUAACACGUGGAUAACCUACCUAUAAGACUGGGAUAAUUUCGGGAAACCGGAGCUAAUACCGGAUAAUAUUUUGAACCGCAUGGUUCAAAAGUGAAAGACGGUCUUGCUGUCACUUAUAGAUGGAUCCGCGCUGCAUUAGCUAGUUGGUAAGGUAACGGCUUACCAAGGCAACGAUGCAUAGCCGACCUGAGAGGGUGAUCGGCCACACUGGAACUGAGACACGGUCCAGACUCCUACGGGAGGCAGCAGUAGGGAAUCUUCCGCAAUGGGCGAAAGCAUGACGGAGCAACGCCGCGUGAGUGAUGAAGGUCUUCGGAUCGUAAAACUCUGUUAUUAGGGAAGAACAUAUGUGUAAGUAACUGUGCACAUCUUGACGGUACCUAAUCAGAAAGCCACGGCUAACUACGUG